GACGAACGCUGGCGGCGUGCUUAACACAUGCAAGUCGAACGGAAAGGCCUCUUUCGGGGGGUACUCGAGUGGCGAACGGGUGAGUAACACGUGAGUAACCUGCCCUUGACUUUGGGAUAACUUCAGGAAACUGGGGCUAAUACCGGAUAGGAGCUCCUGCUGCAUGGUGGGGGUUGGAAAGUUUCGGCGGUUGGGGAUGGACUCGCGGCUUAUCAGCUUGUUGGUGGGGUAGUGGCUUACCAAGGCUUUGACGGGUAGCCGGCCUGAGAGGGUGACCGGCCACAUUGGGACUGAGAUACGGCCCAGACUCCUACGGGAGGCAGCAGUGGGGAAUAUUGCACAAUGGGUGGAAGCCUGAUGCAGCAACGCCGUGUGCGGGAUGACGGCCUUCGGGUUGUAAACCGCUUUCGCUCAUGACGAAGCUUUGUGUGACGGUAGUGGGUAAAGAAACACCGGCUAACUACGU
rnacentral:rRNA from 1 species